GACGAACGCUGGCGGCGUGCCUAAUACAUGCAAGUCGAACGCAGUGGGGACGGGUGAGUAAAACGUGGGUAACCUCCCAUCAGACGGGAGAACCCUUGGAAACAGGUGCUAAACCGAUACUGAUGGAUGGAACCGCGGUGCAGUAGCUAGUUGGGGAGGUCACGGCUCACCAAGGCCACGAUGCAUAGCCGAACUGAGAGGGUGAUCGGCCACACUGGGACUGAGACACGGCCCAUAAUCGUACGGGAGGCAGCAGUAGGGAAUCUUCGGCAAUGGACGAAAGGCUGACCGAGCAACGCCGCGUGAGGGAAGAAGGUUUUCGGAUCGUAAAACUCUGUGGUUAGAGAAGCGGUAUCUAACCAGAAAGCCACGGCUAACUACGUGCGAGCAGCCGCGGUAAUAC
rnacentral:rRNA from 1 species